ACCAGUGCGAGUCUGCGCAGCGACGCCGCGUGAGCGAUGAAGGCCUUCGGGUCGUAAAGCUCUGUUGUUGGGAACGAACCGAUCGGGGAGGAAAUGCUCCGGUUCUGACGGUACCCAACGAGGAAGCCCCGGCUAACCCCGUGCCAGCAGCCGCGGUAAUACGGGGGGGGCGAGCGUUGUUCGGAAUUACUGGGCGUAAAGGGCGUGUAGGCGGCUAUGCAAGUCAGGCGUGGAAUCCCACGGCUCAACUGUGGAAUUGCGUUUGAAACUGCAUAACUUGAGUACAGGAGAGGAGAGCGGAAUUUCCAGUGUAGCGGUGAAAUGCUCAAAUAUUGGAAGGAACACCGGUGGCGAAGGCGGCUCUCUGGCCUGAUACUGACGCUGAGGCGCGAAAGCUAGGGGAGCGAACAGGAUUAGAUACCCUGGUAGUCCUAGCCGUAAACGUUGGGCACUAGGUGUGGGAGGUGUCGACUCCUUCUGUGCCGAAGCUAACGCAUUAAGUGCCCCGCCUGGGGAGUACGGUCGCAAGACUGAAACUCAAAGGAAUUGACGGGGGGCCCGCACAAGCGGUGGAGCAUGUUCUUUAAUUCGAAGCAACGCGAAGAACCUUACCGGGGUCUGACAUGCUUGGGAAAUCUCUAUGGAAACAUGGGGGUGUUCGUAAGGACGCCCUUGCACAGGUGUUGCACGGCUGUCGUCAGCUCCGUGUCGUGAGAUGUUGGGGUAAGUCCCGCACGAGCGCAACCCUUGCCUUAGGUGGCCAGCGGUUUCGGCGGGCACUCUAGGGGGACUGCCUCGGAUAACGGGGAGGAGGUGGGGACGACGUCAGUCAUCAUGGCCUAUGGUCCGGGCUAGAACGUGCUACAUGGCCGGACAAGGGUUGCGAUACGCGAGUGAACCAUCCAAAGGCGUCUCAGUCGAUUGGAGCUGCACUCGACUCAUGAGCCGAUCGUAGAUUCCGACCGCAGCCGUGAUACGUCAGGCUUUACCACGCGUCAAUGACUGGUGGUGCACCGAGUCUGGCUAACUUU
rnacentral:rRNA from 1 species